rnacentral:lncRNA from 1 species
AAUGACCUUGACUCACAUGAAUGACCUUGAAUGACCUCAUGUGCAUGAAUGACCUUGCUGUCUGUGUUCACAGAGGGGGCAGAGACGAGCGUGGAGAAGACUGAGAAGAAGAUUGUACCAACUACAAACCCUGCCCCCACCCCGAUCCCCGCGAGGGGGACGAAUUCUGAAAGAAGCUGGGAGUCCGCAUCCGUCCAGCCUUCUGGGAGCUCCGAAUCCUUCCACAGCCACUCGCUGCUGUCCCCCAGCCUUUGUAGCUUUGAAAUCCAUCGGACAUUUCAGAUGUGGAAACUGAGGCCAGGAGAAUAACUAACUGGCUGAAGGUCACACAGCCAGUAAAGGGUCGAUCCAGGGCUAGACGCGUAUGUUGCAGGUGAACCUGACCUUUGUGCUACCCAGUGGCUCAGCCUACCCCAGGGCAUCCUUCACCCACUGACCUGUCAGCCCGUCCUCACUCACCAUAUGGGACACAAGGGGCCUUAGGACCCAGGGCUUUCCCUCAAGGUACUUGAGCUGAGUAUUGUCAGUGGGCAGAACGCCAGCGCUCAGGGCUGUCUUCCCCUCCCCUGCCGUCCAUGGAGCCCCCGCCUCCCUCACCUCACACAGCGCCAACUCACUCCCGGUAAAUGCAGUGUUUUUCCAUUCCAGUGAGCUCAGCCCUUACUUUGAUUUGGGUGCAGGCAGCUGCAGGUGCCUCAAGUUAUCAUGUGCUCUCUCCCCGCAAUGUCAUCCGUGUUUACUUGCCGCUCUGGACUUUCGAUUCUGUCAGGAUGCCAGUCGGCUGGGCCGCCAGGCACCACAGCUGACAGUCAAAUCUGUGAUGCCGAAUCCUUCUUCUGGAAAAAAGGGCUAAAGAGGUUAAUACACUCAAGUCAGGAUAAACACACCAGCUGUUAGAGUUUCUAAUAUUUAAUAUCAUUAUCAAAUAAAUAACUCAAGAAGAAAUACA